UACGUAGGGAGCGAGCGUUAUCCGGAUUUACUGGGUGUAAAGGGCGAGUAGGCGGGCUGGUAAGUUGGGAGUGAAAUGUCGGGGCUUAACCCCGGAACUGCUUUCAAAACUGCUGGUCUUGAGUGAUGGAGAGGCAGGCGGAAUUCCCAGUGUAGCGGUGAAAUGCGUAGAUAUUGGGAGGAACACCAGUGGCGAAGGCGGCCUGCUGGACAUUAACUGACGCUGAGGAGCGAAAGCGUGGGGAGCAA
rnacentral:rRNA from 1 species